GGCAUAAAGGAGCCGUGUUCAUUGGGCUGAUGGGCAGGAGGGACGCGGUCAGCGAAGGCCAGCGCGCAGGAGCUUUGAGGGGGAGGGUACCUCCAGAAGAGGAUGCCAGCUCCGCUGCAGACAGGAUGGCAGAAUCAAAUCAGCACUUAGAUCUAGAAGAGGACUGGGACAAACCGCAGUAUUACUGAUAACCCUGAUAGCUGUUGGAACACGGUGGUUAAG